rnacentral:rRNA from 1 species
UACGGAGGGGGCUAGCGUUGUUCGGAAUUACUGGGCGUAAAGCGCACGUAGGCGGCUUUGUAAGUUAGAGGUGAAAGCCCAGGGCUCAACCCUGGAAUUGCCUUUAAGACUGCAUCGCUUGAACAUCGGAGAGGUAAGUGGAAUUCCGAGUGUAGAGGUGAAAUUCGUAGAUAUUCGCAAGAACACCAGUGGCGAAGGCGGCUCACUGGCCCGAUACUGACGCUGAGGCACGAAAGCGUGGGGAGCAAACAGG